rnacentral:rRNA from 1 species
AACGAACGCUGGCGGCAUGCCUAACACAUGCAAGUCGAACGAGAUCUUCGGGUCUAGUGGCGCACGGGUGCGUAACGCGUGGGAAUCUGCCCUUUGGUUCGGAAUAACAGUUGGAAACGACUGCUAAUACCGGAUGAUGACGAAAGUCCAAAGAUUUAUCGCCAGAGGAUGAGCCCGCGUAGGAUUAGCUAGUUGGUGUGGUAAAGGCGCACCAAGGCGACGAUCCUUAGCUGGUCUGAGAGGAUGAUCAGCCACACUGGACUGAGACACGGCCCAGACUCCUACGGGAGGCAGCAGUGGGGAAUAUUGGACAAUGGGCGAAAGCCUGAUCCAGCAAUGCCGCGUGAAUGAUGAAGGCCUUAGGGUUGUAAAGCUCUUUUACCCGGGAUGAUAAUGACAGUACCGGGAGAAUAAGCUCCGGCUAACUCCGUGCCAGCAGCCGCCGUAA